rnacentral:rRNA from 1 species
CAGCAGCCGCGGUAAUACGUAGGUGGCAAGCGUUGUCCGGAAUUAUUGGGCGUAAAGCGCGCGCAGGCGGUUCCUUAAGUCUGAUGUGAAAUCUCGCGGCUCAACCGCGAGCGGCCAUUGGAAACUGGGGAACUUGAGUGCAGGAGAGGGGAGCGGAAUUCCACGUGUAGCGGUGAAAUGCGUAGAGAUGUGGAGGAACACCAGUGGCGAAGGCGGCUCUCUGGCCUGUAACUGACGCUGAGGCGCGAAAGCGUGGGGAGCGAACAGGAUUAGAUACCCUGGUAGUCCACGCCGUAAACGAUGAGUGCUAAGUGUUAGAGGGGAUCCACCCUUUAGUGCUGCAGCAAACGCAUUAAGCACUCCGCCUGGGGAGUACGGCCGCAAGGCUGAAACUUAAAGGAAUUGGCGGG